rnacentral:rRNA from 1 species
GAUCAUGGCUCAGGAUGAACGCUAGCUACAGGCUUAACACAUGCAAGUCGAGGGGCAUCAGGGUGUAGCAAUACACCGCUGGCGACCGGCGCACGGGUGAGUAACACGUAUCCAACCUGCCCUUUACUCGGGGAUAGCCUUUCGAAGAAAGAUUAAUACCCGAUAGGUAUAACAUGACCUCCUGGUUUUGUUAUUAAAGAAUUUCGGUAGAGGAUUGGGGAUGCGUUCCAUUAGGCAGUUGGCGGGGUAACG